UCUGCCACAUAUGCAGUUGGAUCUUUAGGUCUUUCCAUGUACAGAUUUGAAUAUUGGUUUGAAUGAACCAGAAAGCUCUGGUUCAUUGGCAUUGUAGUUCUUAUGGGAUUUGAAAUCUCCUUCAGUUCUUGUAAACCUUUCUCAAAAUCUACCAACAGGAGGUCUGGAUCAGUGCACUGGUUUGCCACUGGAAUUCACUUCUGUAUUUGACAUGCUCUAGCUAUGUCUCUCAGGGAAGAUCUAAAUCUGUUUCCUGUCAGCAUGUACUUCUUAGCUUCAUCAAUCCUAUAUUCAUAUCAAUCUUAUAUUCUUAUAUUCCUUCAGUAUCUGCUGUAAACUCAUAGAUAUUUUUCCCCCUUCUAAAACGGACUGAAGCAAGCAUAAGUUGGGUUCCUUUUCUUGACCUUCUAGUGGUCUGUGGAUGGUACCAUGAGUAAUUUGACCUUUUGGGUCAAUACACACGUUUGGUGAUUGCAUACCAUGUGUGUUUUUCUGUGAUUUGUUUGCUUCACACAGGAUGAUAUUUUCUUGUUCAAUCCAUUUGUCUAUGUCUUUCUUGUAAUCAUUGUUUUAUAGCUGAUUAGUAGUCCAUUGUGUAGAUGUACCAUAUUUUCUGUAUCCAUUUCUCUGAUGAAUGCCAUCUGGGUUCUUUCCAGCCUAUGGGUAUUUUAAAUAAGGUUGCUAUGAACAUUCUUCUGUAUGUGUCUUUUUUUAUGUCUUCUUUUCGGUAUAUGCCCAGGAGUGGUAUGGCUUGGACCUCAGUUAUUGCAAUGUCCAAUUUUCUAAGGAUCCUGCAGACUGAUUUCCAGAAUGUUUGAACCAGUUUGUAAUCCAACCAACAAAGAAGGAGUGUUCCUCUUUCUUCACAUCCUUAUCAUCAUCUUCUGUCUCCUGAUUUUUUUUAUUACAGUCAUUCUGACUUGUGUGAGGUGGAAACUCAGAGUUGUUUUCAUUUACAUUUCUAUGAUGACCAUUUCUUUACGUUCUUUUCAGAUAAUUGAUUUCCUUCAGUUGAGAAAUCUUUGUUUAGUUCUGGAACAUAAUUUUAAUAGGGUUAUUUGUCUCUCUGAAGUCUAAAUUUUGAGUUCUUUGUAUGUAUUGGUUAUGGCCUUCUAUCAGAUGGAGGAUUGGUAUAGACCUUUCCAAAUCUGUUCCUUGCGGUUUUGUCCUAAAAGUGUCCUUUGGCAGGCAGUUUUCUACUACAGUGAAGAACUGUCAGUUAGUAAACUAAAACAAGGACUGGCUCCUUACUGACUUCCCUACGUGUUCUGAACAGUAGAUGGGGAAACUAAACAACCAUGUUAUACCCCUACAAGGCAUGCCUAUCUAUAGUCGUGGAUCUAGAGAGACCUAGCAGAGAUUCUGGGCAUCUGUCAAAGAAAUGUAGGCUGGUGAAGUUUGCAGUUUUCAUCCUGGUUUCUGUAUCGACAGGGUAUGGUGUUGUGAAGACAAGAUACCACAUGUGCAGCUGUGAAUAAGUCUGAGAAGGCUGACUUCUUGGAUUUCUGAAGCAUUACUAAGUGAUCCAGAGGAAAUCAGCACGCCCUGCUCAGCAGAGCUCUGGGAAUGCUGACACUCUUGCUUCAUGUUUAUAUUAACCUAGGUCAAAAGAUCACCUGUCAGGGUCUCCGGGUAAGGCAUCAUCCCAACCUUCCAGCAUCAGUGAGCAAGUGCAACAGAUUAAGAAGUUGGAGAAAUUGACUAAGGAGCUCCAGAAGAUGACAUAUACCCUACAAUAAAGAAGAUACCAUCACAGCUUCCCAUCCUCCCCAGCACUGAAGAAAGAAAAGUUUUACUUUGUCAUGGUUAUGGACAUAUUCUUGUUUACUGGGCUCAGAGCUUCAGAUCUGAUGGAGGGAGACUAUGGAAAUGGAAUCUCCUUUGGAGGAAUCUGCUUACCUUGUAGGAAUGGGGAAACAGAGAGCAAAAGUAAGAUGUUGUUCCACGACUUCAUCCCUUGCUAAGAAAAAAGUGUCCUUUUCACAGCUUGGGAACUGGGUAAGCAGUCUAAGCAAGCAUGGCUAACAAGCCAAACCAGAUGGGUAAACAUUUGUCCAUUGGAUACGAAGGGGGAGCAUUUAAUUGACUAUGCUGACUGUAUCUCCUGUCCACUGUGUUCUAAUCCCAUGCAAGGAAAGUUCGGUGGAUUUUGUCUGUCCUGUGUCAGAACAAUAGUGUUUUCCAUUCUGAAUGCUUUUUCUUCACUGAUAUGAACCUUGAGAGAACAGUGGGAGCCACAGAAAGCCACAGCCAACAACAUUCUACAUUCUAGAAUAUCAAGGCCUUCUCAUAAGAAACACUUUCUUGUAGUUGUGAAUUCAGCAGGGAGGAAAAUUACAACCAACCUCUGAUCAAGCAGCAUAAAAAUUAGCAUGAGAUAAAGAAAGACUUAAAAAUGAGUCAGAUCUCUGAUACAUAACAAUAAGUGGACCCUGGCUCUGUCACAAAUAACAUUAAGGUUAUUUUGUUGAGCAAGAGUUACUCUCCUGGAGUCCUCAGAUGUUCAUAUGUGGUUGAAAAUCUGUCACGGAAGACUGUAUUGAUAUCAUACUCUAAUCCAGAGAGACCAUACAAAAAAGUAUAUUAUUCCUUCUGGAGUAUUGGUUGAAAUUAAUUCACAUCACACAUUUGUAUGUGAGGCUUAAAUUAAUGUUCUACAUAGACAAAAACAUUAUCUCAAUCCUUGCCUUUGUAAUUUGUUUUGUUUUGUUUUGUUUUUUUUAAUUUUGAAAAUGGCUUAGUAUUCUUCAGUUAAACAAUUGAACUGAAGUGACUGUUCCUCAGACUGUAUACAUAGAGAACAUCUGAGUAGUAGUUGACAUUUUUAGUCGGGGCGUCUCCCCAUGGAUCUGUUUGUGCCUGAAUAAGCAUGCAUAGACUUAUUUCAGUUAAGGGAAUCAUGUAGUAUACAAAAAAUUAGAGGAUCCAUCUGCUGUAAAUAUUUUCUUUUACUCAGGUGAAGGAAGGUUUAUCAAAGCCUGUGUAUCAAAGGUUGUAGAUAUUACACCAUCCAUAGGAGAUAAUAUAUCAAGAAAGAUUCUGCAGGGAUACAGAGAUUGACCUAAAUAUCCCCACACAAUUCUAAGCCAGAACGGACAAGAUAUCACUUCACGUGGAAAUUUAAAAUAAUCUGAUGCUAUGGUAUGUGGAGUGUUUUAAAGAAAAACCACCUAAAAAGCAUAUGCAUAUAUAGCAGAUGCUAUUCAAAAAUAUCCAGAGGCAGUUUGGAACCUACAUUUAGCACAAAGAGAUUGAAUCCCCACUUCACAGAUACUGAAUAGAACCACUGAGUAUUAAGAAAUCUAUAUUAGAAAUCACUUGCCUAUCACAUGUCUGUAUAACUAGGUAGUCACAGCAAACAUGACAUUCUGAAAGCAUAACUUGAACUUGUCAACAAUGGAGGGAGUGCAUGUAGUGAAUGAGGUUUGGGCAUGAAACUCAAAAGUCGAAAAUAAUACUGAGAUUUGAGUUUUGAGGACAAUAAAUACUUAAUGACUUUUGGGACAAAAUUUGAAUCUAAAGACUCCAAAAAUUAUUUAUCAAUCAGCUCUGAAUCCCUAUGGAGAUUGGUGGAUAUUAUGAAUUUAGUCUGUGCCCCAGAGGUAUAGGUAAAUGGUGUAAUUUGAAGUGAUUAGGUAUGCUAAAGAGGCAUACAAAACUGAGGAGGCCAUGGUAUCAUUGAAUAAGUGUGCUUCUCCAAAACGUAGCAUGAUUUUUUGUGGAGUGACCUAGACACUAUACACACACGCGCAUGCACACACAUAAACACACAGAUACACACAUACACACAUACACACAAAAACACACAAACACACACACACACACACACAAAACCCACAAAUAAUUGACUUCCUCUGUGCUGUGUGUGGCAUGCUGGAAUUAUCCAAGAUAUGAAGAGUAUUCUCCACAAGUAAGUUAAACCCAAACUCAAUGAAAAAUUUAGAAUUCCUCCUCCUUUCUUGAGAAAGCAUUCUGUGCAUGAGUAAUGCUUACAUUUUAAAGUUUAAGAGGGAUGACUUGAAAACAGUAACUACUUAAUCCACGUUGAAACAGCAUUUCAGAGAUGUGUAGUGAUUUAAUUUUGAUUUUAUGAAACUGCAAUUGCUCAGGUCUCAUGAUUGCAGUAUUGAACCACGUCAUUCCUAAACAUAACUGUAGGGACAGUAAGAGUUUGGAGAUUUCUUCAAGUUGAAAAACCUCAGAAAUCGUAUUAGCAACAACUUAAUUCAAAAAUGGAGAAACUUGUGCUUGGCUAAGGUCCUAAGACUGAGCAGCUGGUUCAAAGCCAAGGACAAACAUUGCAUGUAACCAAGGACUGCUGGGUACAGAACCUGUUACUAAAAUGGAGAAAGCUAAAGUCUUCAGGAAAUAUGGAUAAGGAAGACUUGAAAUGGUAGAAAUAUAUGCUAUAUAUUUAGUGGUACACACUGAGAGGAUGAAUUUUUGAAAUGUUUAUCUCCUUAGGAGUGUAAACAUUUGAGCUAAGUAAAUGCUGUAGCCUAUGUACGAAAGGGAAGUGAGUUUCCAUUCAGACACUGGAAUUACCUUCAUGCCGAACAUGAACAUGGGAGGGUUUCAAAGAAAUGUUGAAGCACAUCAAGAGCUUCUGAGCAUCCAGGAGGAGUCUGAGAGGAUUAAUUUGUUCUUGUUAUGAGGGAUUUUCUAGUUUAUUGUUGGAAAUCCAUCAAGAGAAGUUCAAAGUCUAGAAACCAAAUUCUAUACAAGUCUCAUAUUAGCUUUGGAAGACUGUGACCUGUAAAGGCCUCAAAAAGGCAUAGCUAGAUUCACCUGUUAAAAUGUAUUACAAUUGGUGACUGACUGCCUUUCCACUAUGUUCCCAAGGCCAGCCGCAAGGUACGACUGUGGUGCUAAACCUUCAGCUGGAGAAUUCUGCUUAGCUUAAUUACUGUGUUUUGUUUUUGGUUUGAGUUGUGUUUGCUUCAGGUAUUAGUACUGUUGGUUUGGUUGGAAGUUUUGUCAUUCAUUCUUAAUAAAUUUUUGUUCUUUUGGUGAAUUUGCAGUUUUGAUAACAUCAUGCACAUUGGGUUAUGAUUGUAUCAUUAAACCCUUUUUGAAAAAAAAAUUAAUAUAUAUUUUUCAGAAUAAAAUGUGUUUUUCAACUCAUAAGAAACAAGUUUUUUCUUGUGUCGUGUUGCACCCUGUAAUCCCAGAAACCAUAUGUAGAGAUAGAUGACUAAAAUUUGCAGGGUCUUGGGAUUCACAAUUGUUCCCAGUAAGCCAGAGGUACACAUGUGG